ACCGACGAUGGCGACUACAACAUCAAGAUGCGCAACAUCCGUCGUUUUCUGGACGACGGCGACAAGUGCAAGAUCACGCUGCGCUUCCGUGGCCGCGAGAUCACGCACCAGGAGCUGGGCCUGGCCUUGCUGCAGCGCAUCCGGGACGAACUGGGCGACGCCAUCGUGGUCGAGCAGUUCCCCAAGCUGGAAGGCCGGCAGAUGAUCAUGAUGAUCGCGCCGGGCCGCAAGAAGGGUGGGGCGGCUCCCAAGGCCGCCGAGCCGGCAACGUCCGGCCAGGCUUGAAGCGCGAGCUUCGCCUGCCUACAAAGGA
rnacentral:misc_RNA from 1 species